CCCAUCCCUCCCUGUGAAAUUUAUGGCAGUUUUGGGUCCCUCUGGGAGACGACAUCCAGCAUGUCAUGCUGGACUGUUCUAGAGAGUAAUUUUCAAAUGUAAGCUUAGCAAAGUUUGAAUUGACUUGAACAGAGAUAAAAACUACAAGUGAACACCUACACCUGCCUACAAAGAGCUAACAAGCCCCUGGCAGCUGCCAGCAUCAAAGCACAGCGGAUGUCUCUAAUACAGGUCUCUGUAUCUUCUUGGACAGCACCGAGCCCGACGACAAGGAUACGAGAGUCUUUCCCUGCCGGACGGAGAGAACCAGGAAAAAAGUUAAAAUAAGAACAGGGCAGUUUGAAAUUCAUACUUGCAACGAGAGGCAGCGCCUAACCAACAGAACAAAAGUAAACAAAGCAUGAUACCUCCCUGGGGACAGAAGACUUACAAACUCUCCAGGAUUUACAAUUCUAGCGACCAACCCCUUCAGGACAGCAGCCAAGUGUCCCCUGGGGUGGUGCUGCACCAAAGAACCAUCUGAGAGGUUCCAAAGAGUGAAAUGCACAAUAUUUUGCAAAGACAAAAAAUCCUGCAAAAUAACAAAAAUACAAUAGAUGUAAACUACAGGGCAAGAGUACAAGUGUUACCUUUGGCAGCUGGAACCAUCCAGGUGAGCACCUGAUAACUGGAUCCUCACCAGAGUUUGAACCCUUCAGGACACAGAAGGGUUUUCCCCAGAAAUUUCACAGACUGAGUUUUGACAGAAGCACGCUCGCCGGAUCCUCAGAAACGUCGCCCAUUCUCCAGGCGUCUGGAGAGAACUGCAAAUGGCUCUCACGUAGUUGGAGCUGGUUCUAUAAGGUCUCAGGGUGAAUUUCACCAGAUGCAACUGAAUUGGGCAACUCCCAGUGAGACAGAAGGAACCCAAAGCUUGUUUUACCCAAACCUUGGGUAAGCACAGCUCCAGCAAAUACUGAGGAAACAGACAUAACAGGGUAAAAAUAAUAAAACUAUUGCUUUUUCUUUAAUCUUGCCUUUUUUUUUUUUAUUCAGAUGAGCAAAACAAUGAAGGAGAAGGUGAAAAACUCACCAUUACUGAACAUUUCAUCAUCUGUAAGCUGAGCAUCCUUAGCAUAGAGGACUCCAGAGUUAAAAUUCACUGAUCCCUGGGAAAUAAAACCAAAUAUAUGACAAACAGUCAAACAGAAGGCUUAAAAAUUUGUUUCCUCUACGGACUUUCAAGUAUGUAUCUUUGUAUAUAUCCUACACAUUACAACAUACACUUUAUACCAUCUCCUAAUAUAUAAUAAUUUACCUUUAAACUUUGAUAGUAUAGUGUGGAGAAAUGGCUCCAUGACAGAGGUCACGCAGACAUUCGCUCGUUAGCCGACCAGGAGCUGGGAAAGUACCGAACAUAGGUAUUUUUGAGUUUUGCACCUGCAAGAUAGCGUGUGCCUGGGCCUAGCUGGGUAGGAUAACAAGUAGACAGAGAGACGUGGGAAAUAGGGAAUGUAGGCCCAAAGGAAUGAGGAAGAGUUGAUGGUAUAGUUUAACCAAUAGAUCGCUUGGCUUACAGAAUAUUCAUAAGCUUAUUAUGUGCUAUAUAAGUGUCUGAUACUCUCUGCAAUAAACAUAGCUUGCUGAUCUCA